rnacentral:lncRNA from 1 species
GAUCAGAUGAUAUGAGAUGGACUCAAAGCCACAGAGGAAGAUUUUGGCCUUAAGUAAAGGGAGAGAAGAACAUAGCACACUCUGGAACUAUGGGAUGGAGUGCAGGUUAGAGUGAUGGAGAAGUGAAGGAGCCAUAACCAUGUGGAAAUGGGAAGACGUGAAACAGAGUGGCAGUUAAUGUCAGGGAGAGGAGAUGAAAAUGAGGAAAAAUUGAUGGAAACUAUGGACAGAUGAAGAGAGACCUCAGCCACGACUUUUAAGGGGAACAAUAAUAGCCUAAAGAUUCCAAGUACUUUAAGAUAACAAUGGACCUAGAGUUUUUUAAAAAGUUCAAGUAAAUAGGUAUUGCAGAAGUGGCUAACUGCAUGCUAUUUUUCAGAGGGUUAGAAAAUUACUCCCUUUAGGAUUAAAGGAUUUGAGUCAGAUUCAAGUAAGCUGUUAGCUCUGUCUCACACACAUACACACACAUGUGCAGCUGCACAUGUGCACACAUGGAUACACAUAGCUCUGAUAUGUAAACAAGAUAUUACCUACUUGAAUUACAAAAUAGGCAUUAAAAUGUGUGUUUUCAGACAUAGACUGAAGAGAAAUCUUUGCUAGGUAGGGGCAUUGAUACAGAAAGGCAGUGUAAAAGAAAAUGUUUCCAAUUAAACUUGUAUAUUCAGUUAGGAUGCAUUGAGAAAUCAUUCAAAGUCAUUCUGGAGACGCAUGCUUUGAAAGGAAAUUACCAAAGCCUACAAAGUAGGACUGUGCUCUGUGCCAGUUGGUGGGUGAAGCCAUAGCAGCAAGAUGUCUAUCAGCGAGGGUGAUACCCAGCCAGCAGUCAGCAGGGAGGCCUAGCACCCCUGUGAAUCACCCCUCACAGCCUAAUGUCUCUCCUGGCACGGGAAGUACAGAGGUAUUUCAUCAGCUCUGCUUAUUUUGGUCAACCACUAGGAGGAUGAAAAGGACUGACAUCUUCCUUACUCAGAGGCACAGAAAUUCCAAGACAGAGAAAAUUCCUGGCAGAGGCACUGAAAGAGUUGGGUUCUAAUCCCAACUCCUCCACUGCAGAGCUACCAAUCCUCCUGAGGCUGCCUCCUAAUUCAUGAGAUGAUGGCAUUGAUGGGCCAACCCUGGGGCCUGUUCCAAGACUCAGAUGUCACAGCCUGGGCAUCCUCACUUCCUAGGAAUUUUGGAUACAAAUUCUUCUUGAGCAGUUAGAGCUCAAAUUCAGAGUCUUUCAAAGCUGUGACUAUAGGACUGCCAAGGAGGGUCUUUGAAGUGAUAUGACUGCUUUCUAUAUUCUUUAUGAAGUUCUAGACAUUUUUAAAAAGUGAUCGCACCGAGUAAGGAUGCAUUCCAAUGCAGGACAUGUGUCACAGGAUGUGGAUAACAGGUUUAUGAUUAUUUAGUGAACUUGGGAAAGCCAAUAGCUGAUUCAUUCGGCUAAUCAUGCUACUAAAAGAAUCAGGAAUUAAAAAAAAAAUUAAACAAAUA